rnacentral:rRNA from 1 species
GACGAACGCUGGCGGCGUGCUUAACACAUGCAAGUCGAACGGAAAGGCCCUGCUUGCAGGGUACUCGAGUUGCGAACGGGUGAGUAACACGUGGGUGAACUGCCCUGCACUUCGAGAUAAGCAUGGUAAACUGGGUCUAAUACCGGAUAGGAGCUAUUUUUAAUGUGAUGGUUGGAAAGUUUUUUCGGUGUAGGAUGAGCUCGCGGCCUAUCAGCUUGUUGGUGGGGUAAUGGCCUACCGAGGCGGCGACGGGUAGCCGGCCUGAGAGGGUGGACGGCGACAUUGGGACUGAGAUACGGCCCAGACUCCUACGGGAGGCAGCAGUGGGGAAUAUUGCACAAUGGGCGCAAGCCUGAUGCAGAGACGCCGCGUGGGGGAUGACGGCCUUCGGGUUGUAAACUCCUUUCGCUAGGGACGAAGCUUUUUGUGACGGUACCUAGAUAAGAAGCACCGGCUAACUACGUG